CCCUUAGAUGUCCUGGGCCGCACGCGUGCUACACUGACACUUACACCGAGUUUUUCCAAUGCCGAAAGGCCAUUGGUAAUCAGCAAUAAGUGUCGUGAUGGGGAUAGAUCUUUGCAAUUUUUGGUCUUCAACGAGGAAUUCCUAGUAAACGCAAGUCAUCAACUUGCAUUGAUUACGUCCCUGCCCUUUGUACACACCGCCCGUCGCACCUACCGAUUGAAUGGUCCGGUGAAGCCUCCGGAUUGGCGCGCACCUCGGUGCCGCCGAGAAGUUGGCUAAACCUUACCAUUUAGAGGAAGGUGAANUCGUAACA
rnacentral:rRNA from 1 species